ACGUACACUCCUACGGGAGGCAGCAGUGGGGAAUAUUGGACAAUGGGCGCAAGCCUGAUCCAGCCAUGCCGCGUGAGUGAUGAAGGCCCUAGGGUUGUAAAGCUCUUUCACCGGUGAAGAUAAUGACGGUAACCGGAGAAGAAGCCCCGGCUAACUUCGUGCCAGCAGCCGCGGUAAUACGAAGGGGGCUAGCGUUGUUCGGAUUUACUGGGCGGAAAGCGCACGUAGGCGGACUAUUAAGUCAGGGGUGAAAUCCCGGGGCUCAACCCCGGAACUGCCUUUGAUACUGGUAGUCUUGAGUUCGAGAGAGGUGAGUGGAAUUCCGAGUGUAGAGGUGAAAUUCGUAGAUAUUCGGAGGAACACCAGUGGCGAAGGCGGCUCACUGGCUCGAUACUGACGCUGAGGUGCGAAAGCGUGGGGGGCAAACAGGAUUAGAUACCCCGGUAGUCCCAUGAU
rnacentral:rRNA from 1 species